rnacentral:rRNA from 1 species
AUUGAACGCUGGCGGCAGGCCUAACACAUGCAAGUCGAACGGUAACAGGAAGCAGCUUGCUGCUUCGCUGACGAGUGGCGGACGGGUGCGUAAUGUCUGGGAAACUGCCUGAUGGAGGGGGCUAACUACUGGAAACGGUAGCUAAUACCGCAUAACGUCGCAAGACCAAAGAGGGGGACCUUAGGGCCUCUUGCCAUCGGAUGUGCCCAGAUGGGAUUAGCUAGUAGGUGGGGUAACGGCUCACCUAGGCGACGAUCCCUAGCUGGUCUGCGAGGGUGACCAGCCACACUGGAGCUGAGACACGGUCCAGACACCUACGGGAGGCAGCAGUGGGGAAUAUGGCACAAUGGGCGCAAGCCUGAUGCAGCCAUGGCGCGUGUAUGAAGAAGGCCUUCGGGUUGUAAAGUACUUUCAGCGGGGAGGAAGGGAGUAAAGUUGAUACCUUUGCUCAUUGACGUGACCCGCAGAAGAAGCACCGGCGAACUGCGU